rnacentral:rRNA from 1 species
CCUACGGGGGGCUGCAGUGGGGAAUAUUGCACAAUGGGCGAAAGCCUGAUGCAGCAACGCCGCGUGAGCGAUGAAGGCCUUCGGGUUGUAAAGCUCUAUCCUCAAGGAAGAUAAUGACGGUACUUGAGGAUUAAGCCCCGGCUAACUACGUGCCAGCAGCCGCGGUAAUACGUAGGGGGCUAGCGUUAUCCGGAAUUACUGGGCGUAAAGGGGGCGUAGGUGGUUUCUUAAGUCAGAGGUGAAAGGCUACGGCUAAACCGUAGUAAGCAUUUGAAACUGGCGAACUUGAGUGCAGGAGAGGUAGGCGGAAUUCGUAGUGUAGCGGUGAAAUGCGUAGAUAUUAGGAGGAACACCAGUUGCGAAGGCGGCUUACUGGACUGUAACUGACACUGAGGCUCGAAAGCGUGGGGAGCAAACAGGAUUAGAUACCCUAGUAGUC